rnacentral:rRNA from 1 species
AACAAACGCUGACGGCGUGCCUAAUACAUGCAAGUCGAACGGGGAAAGCUUUCGGGUGAGUACUAGUGGCGCACGGGUGAGUAACGCGUGGAUAAUCUGCCUUAGAGUGGGGGAUAACUAGUCGAAAGAUUAGCUAAUACCGCAUAAGACCACAAGAACUGCGGUUCAAGGGGUCAAAGGUUUUUCGCUCUAAGAUGAGUCCGCGUAAGAUUAGCUAGUUGGUAGGGUAACGGCCUACCAAGGCGACGAUCUUUAACUGGUCUGAGAGGAUGAUCAGUCACACUGGAACUGAGACACGGUCCAGACUCCUACGGGAGGCAGCAGUAGGGAACAUUGCACAAUGGAGGAAACUCUGAUGCAGCGACGCCGCGUGAGUGAUGAAGGCCUUCGGGUCGUAAAGCUCUGUCGCAGGGGAAUAACACAAUGAAGGUACCCUGUAAGAAAGGAUCGGCUAACUUCGUGCCAGCAGCCGCCGUAAGAC